rnacentral:rRNA from 1 species
UACAGAGGUCUCAAGCGUUGUUCGGAUUCAUUGGGCGUAAAGGGUGCGUAGGUGGCGCGGUAAGUCGGGUGUGAAAUUUCGGAGCUUAACUCCGAAACUGCAUUCGAUACUGCGGUGCUUGAGGACUGGAGAGGAGACUGGAAUUCAUGGUGUAGCAGUGAAAUGCGUAGAGAUCAUGAGGAAGACCAGUGGCGAAGGCGGGUCUCUGGACAGUUCCUGACACUGAGACACGAAGGCCAGGGGAGCAAACGGG